UACUAAACUGCUUGUUUUCUGGUCUCACC
rnacentral:piRNA from 1 species